rnacentral:piRNA from 1 species
UGGAGCAACAAAGCUUGGGAGUCUCAGA